rfam:Asian citrus Psyllid, Diaphorina citri - Florida Strain, whole genome shotgun sequence.
GCCUCGGUGGUGUAGCGGUCAAGACGCUCGCCUGGUUACUAGGAGGACGUGGGUUCAAUCCCACCUGAGGUA